UACAGAGGGCCCGAGCGUUGUUCGGAUUUACUGGGCGUAAAGGGCGCGUAGGCGGCCUGAUAAGUUUGAUGUGAAAGCUCAGGGCUUAACCCUGAAAUGGCAUUGAAUACUGUCGGGCUGGAGGUUUGGAGGGGGGACUGGAGUUCUUGGUGUAGCAGUGAAAUGCGUAGAUAUCAAGAGGAACACCAGUGGCGAAGGCGAGUCCCUGGACAGCACCUGACACUGAGGCACGAAAGCUAGGGGAGCAAACAGG
rnacentral:rRNA from 1 species